AUAGAUAGUGGGGUUUUUAGGCUGGCAUAGAUAGUAAACUGGUCUGGCCGGUGUGUGUGAGCAGCUGGGGGCUUCAGCGCGCCCAAAACAUGAGCAUGGGACUGCAAAAACGAAACGAGUAUCCGUGAAGGUUGCGUAGGAGAGCCAAAAUUUUACUUCGGCUCAUGUGCAGGCAUGUGACAGGAGGUGGUUUAUAGAUGAAUGGCAGUGAAGUAAAGUGAACGCCGCCGACACACACGUUGAGAACGAACUCAGCUUUGUCUCGCGGGCGAGUAUUUCUGAAGAUGCUGACGAUAAGCAGAUUGAUGGGGAACAUGAUGAUGGAACUUUGAAAUCCAACCAUAACCUGCUGCCAGGUGAACUCAAUGUGACCUGCAACAUAAAGGUAGGUUUUAAGUUUAGUCUAAUUUUAUACAAUAAAGCAACAGGUAAAAAUUUUUAUUAGGACUUUUAAUAUUUUUUUUAGCAGAUUAUGUAAAACAUUAUGGUGGAUCAUGAUAAUGAAAAAUGGAAAAUGUGAUUUCUUCCUGCUGCAUGACUUAAUUAACUUCUUUGAGCAGAGGAAGCAAAGAGAACAUGGAGAGGAAUUGGAGAAAAACUAGGUUGAAGAAUGGAAAGACUAAUUAUCACAACAUCAGUGACAAAAAAAGAAAUAU